AUUCUAUCUACUCUUAAUUGUUGUAGAAUUGAACUAGAACAUUUACUUUGAGGAAAUUAGAGUGUUUCAAGCAGG
rnacentral:rRNA from 1 species